UCGCCGCCAUGGCCUAAACAUGCAAGUCGAGCGGACAGAUGGGAGCUUGCUCCCUGAUGUUAGCGGCGGACGGGUGAGUAACACGUGGGUAACCUGCCUGUAAGACUGGGAUAACUCCGGGAAACCGGGGCUAAUACCGGAUGGUUGUUUGAACCGCAUGGUUCAAACAUAAAAGGUGGCUUCGGCUACCACUUACAGAUGGACCCGCGGCGCAUUAGCUAGUUGGUGAGGUAACGGCUCACCAAGGCAACGAUGCGUAGCCGACCUGAGAGGGUGAUCGGCCACACUGGGACUGAGACACGGCCCAGACUCCUACGGGAGGCAGCAGUAGGGAAUCUUCCGCAAUGGACGAAAGUCUGACGGAGCAACGCCGCGUGAGUGAUGAAGGUUUUCGGAUCGUAAAGCUCUGUUGUUAGGGAAGAACAAGUACCGUUCGAAUAGGGCGGUACCUUGACGGUACCUAACCAGAAAGCCACGGCUAACUACGUGCCAGCAGCCGCGGUAAUACGUAGGUGGCAAGCGUUGUCCGGAAUUAUUGGGCGUAAAGGGCUCGCAGGCGGUUUCUUAAGUCUGAUGUGAAAGCCCCCGGCUCAACCGGGGAGGGUCAUUGGAAACUGGGGAACUUGAGUGCAGAAGAGGAGAGUGGAAUUCCACGUGUAGCGGUGAAAUGCGUAGAGAUGUGGAGGAACACCAGUGGCGAAGGCGACUCUCUGGUCUGUAACUGACGCUGAGGAGCGAAAGCGUGGGGAGCGAACAGGAUUAGAUACCCUGGUAGUCCACGCCGUAAACGAUGAGUGCUAAGUGUUAGGGGUUUCCGCCCCUUAGUGCUGCAGCUAACGCAUUAAGCACUCCGCCUGGGGAGUACGGUCGCAAGACUGAAACUCAAAGGAAUUGACGGGGCCCGCACAAGCGGUGGAGCAUGUGUUUAAUUCGAAGCACGCGAAGAACUUACCAGUCUGACAUCUCUGACAAUCUAGAGAUAGACGUCCUCGGGCAGAUGACAGGUGGUGCAUGUUGUCGUCAGCUCUUUCUGGAAUGUGGUAGUCCGCACGAGGCAACUGAAUCUAAUGCAGCAUCAUUGAACCUAGGUACUGCGGGUACACGAGAAGUGGGAGUACGCUAUCAUGCUAGAUCUGUAACGUCAUGCACAAGGACAUCCGGUUUAC
rnacentral:rRNA from 2 species